UACAGAGGUCUCAAGCGUUGUUCGGAUUCAUUGGGCGUAAAGGGUGCGUAGGUGGCGCCAUAAGUCGGGUGUGAAAUCUCGGGGCUUAACUCCGAAACUGCAUUCGAUACUGUGGUGCUUGAGGACUGGAGAGGAGACUGGAAUUCAUGGUGUAGCAGUGAAAUGCGUAGAGAUCAUGAGGAAGACCAGUGGCGAAGGCGGGUCUCUGGACAGUUCCUGACAUGAGGCACGAAGGCCAGGGGAGCAAACGGG
rnacentral:rRNA from 1 species